CCUACGGGAGGCAGCAGUGGGGAAUAUUGGACAAUGGGCGAAAGCCUGAUCCAGCAAUGCCGCGUGAGUGAUGAAGGCCUUAGGGUUGUAAAGCUCUUUUACCCGGGAUGAUAAUGACAGUACCGGGAGAAUAAGCUCCGGCUAACUCCGUGCCAGCAGCCGCGGUAAUACGGAGGGAGCUAGCGUUAUUCGGAAUUACUGGGCGUAAAGCGUACGUAGGCGGCUUUGCAAGUUAGAGGUGAAAGCCUGGAGCUCAACUCCAGAACUGCCUUUAAAACUGCAUCGCUUGAAUCCAGGAGAGGUGAGUGGAAUUCCGAGUGUAGAGGUGAAAUUCGUAGAUAUUCGGAAGAACACCAGUGGCGAAGGCGGCUCACUGGACUGGUAUUGACGCUGAGGUACGAAAGCGUGGGGAGCAAACAGGAUUAGAUACCCUGGUAGUCCACGCCGUAAACGAUGAUAACUAGCUGUCAGGGCACUUAGUGCUUUGGUGGCGCAGCUACGACAUUAAGUUAUUCCGUCCGUCGGGUAGGUACGGCCGGCCGAACGGUUAAAACCGUUAAACGUAAACGUAAGUACGGUACGGUCGUAGACGUACGUCGACCGACGACCGACCGACGGAGGGUAGGGUAGG
rnacentral:rRNA from 1 species